rnacentral:lncRNA from 1 species
ACGACCCUCCCCUUCCUCCCGGCAUCCUCCACACUCUGACCCUGCAGCCAUGCUGCCGGGCUAAAGCGGGUUUAAUUAAUGGCGCCUGAGGCCGGCUCCUGAGGGCUCCUGAGGCAGCUUGAAACCCAGCAAAAGCUCCCUGGCUGAUAAAAGCUCAGUGGCUAAAAUGGAAAUACUGGGACCCGGACAGGCCAUCAGAGAAUUGCACACCUGGGCUGUCUUGAUCUGAUUCCUUGGAGAAUUGCUCUGUGGAUCUGAGCCUUGGCCCCGCGCCAUUGGCCCACACUGAGGAGUGCCGCAAACAACCCCGUGAGCCCCACUGCUUCCUUGCCUGGAGGAUGUGAUUGAGGAUGUGGUUUUCUGUCCUUUGUGUGGACCCAAGAAAGAAGUUUCUUUCAGACCUUGUACCAGGAAUAAUCGUGCUUCUCCUGAGCAACUGGCUUGUUUUGUUUUUGUGAACACUCUAAAUUGUGUAACUGUCUGUGUCUUUCAAAGCCAUCGAAAAUCCUUUGGGAACAAGACAGGGUAUAAAAUAAAGCUAUUCAGAGUUUAGACCAAGCUCCCUAUUUAAUGCAUUAUAUUCCUUUUGGAAAAGUCGCUUCAUUUGGCUGACUUUCUUUGCUCGUAAGUUAGAGAUAAUGAGUUCUUCCUGUGAGCAGAGUGUAAAUUAGUGUUUUUAAAGCACUCAGAGUUCCCUCAAUGCAAGUUAUUAUGGAAACUAACACUAAUAUUUAAUUUAUUUAAAUCUCUGCUAUUUUGUAAUUCCCUCUCUUUUUAUGUCAUUCCUGAACUUUGCUUGCUCAUUCAUUUACUUGGCACGUUUGAGGAUGUAACAGUGCACCAAACACCCUGGAAGGAUACAGAUUAAAAAGUCUGGAUUGUGCUUUCCAGUAGCAUGAAGAGUUGACGGUGUGUUUUCCACUAAAUUAGAGAUUUAAAUAACAAGAAAACAAUAAAUGAAUAAGUCAAUAAAUAUCUUAAUUAUAAAAUUCUGUGGUUUCAGUGAAGAAAAGAAAUAGGGAACAGUGGGAAAGGAUGACAGUUCUAGAGGUGGAGAUGGAAGGUGCCUGUAAGAAGGCAACUUUCAAGCAAAGCCCUGGAGAAUAAAAAGGAACAACUGUGCUAAGAGCUCAGGAAAUAAGUCUUAAGGCAUGAGACGGUUUGGCAGGGUGAUGGAUCUGAAAACAGACAGUGGCAUCACAGUAAGCAAGGAC